UCCUUUCCCCGUGGACUAUGAAGGUGAGCAGGGCUGCCUGCUGGGUCAGUGAGACAGAGCGUGGCCUGACCCCACCCCCUCCAGCAAAUGUAAUCCCCUCUUCUUAUCUGGGAGGCCGAGCACACUGUGGAUUGACUCAGGCCUCACCGAGGUCCUGGGUCUAGUGGCUACUGCGACAGAGUGACACUUAGUAUCUUGGCCUCAGUUGUGCUCUGGCUCUGGACCCAGGAGAGGAGAACAGUUCCCCAGAACAAGCCUUGAGAAGUAGGACAGGACGUGGCUGACGUCAGGACCAGGUGCCGUGAUUGAGGGCCGCACCCCAGCACCCACCAAUCGCUCAAGACCAGGACCCAAGCUCCUUCAGUCACCAUGACUGGUGACUUUUCCCUGUACAGGGUGGGGCCAGAGUAGGCUUGGGGUGUGGCAAAACUAGGGUUAGAGUCGUCCGUGUGGAAAAUAAUACAAUAAGUAAUAAUAGUACAGGAAUAAAUUAUGCUUUGCUUACUCAGAGCUGGAGCCCUACUGUUACCCUACCCUGUAUGAUCCACCCCCUGGAAGCCGUCGGAGGGUCAGGUUUGAGCACGAACUACUCUGGUGGGUGCAGGCCAAGGACCCCGCCAGUCCGGGACCGGGACCAUGACCACAGUGCCCGGGCCCACAUCGAGGGCCCCUGCCUGCCAGCCCCUGCCACCGGCCACCUUUCCUCAGUUUCCUCGGAGUCUGGUCCCCUUCCCCCCUUCUUCUGAGGCCCUGGGUGGUCCAGACGGACCCCGUGCAGAGGACACAGAUCGGGACAGGGUGAACGAGGCGGGGACAGUGGCCCUACCAGGUGGACACUGCGGAGCAGGAAAACCCUGGAGAGAGCGCAGGGGACACGUUCCGCUCCCCCCGAGUUGGAGUCGCCACCCUGCCUGUGUCAACUGGUGUAACUGCCCAGGAACCUAAUUUUCUUUAACCCUGACUUUUCUUUUUAGUUGUUUUUUUUUUCCUUUGACUCAAACUGGCCUCACCAGGCACCCUGACUCACCCAGCAAUCUCUCCCUUGCUGAAUCAUGAAGCCCUCAGGACAACGAGGUUCUGGGCAAGCACCAGCAGUCUUAGGAUCAAGGUCCUGGGUCUAGUGAUUACUGAGACGAAGUUAAACGUAGUAUCUUGGCCUCAGUUGUGUUCUAGCUCCAGACCCAGGAAAGCAGAACAGCCCCACAGAGCCAGCCCUUGCGAAGCUGGGCAGAACAACUCCAAGGCUGAAAUCAGCACCGGGUGCAGUGAUGUGUGACCCCUACCCCAGCCCCCGCCAAUCAGUACAGACCAGGACCCAAACUCCCUUAGUCACCAUGACUAACGACUUUCCCCACUAAUCCAUCCCCUGGAAGCCACGCGGGAGCCAGGUCUUUGCGAUGAGCUGCCUGUGACUCCUGGCGUGGCACCACCUCCUUGAUAAAUCCUUUCUUUCUCGGCUGCAAA